UGAGUAUGAAUUACAAGUGUGUAUGUUUUGCAUGUAAUGGUGCCAUCAGUACAUUCCAUUCCAGGACACUACAUGCCUAGUCAGUUAGUCAACAACAUCAGGAGACUCACUUUUGGAGAGAACAACAACGAAGUUUUCAUGCCCCAAGUGACUGUGACAGUGAUUCAUGGGACAUGCUAUUGACAGCCUUUGGGAAGAUUCUGAAUGGGAGGGCUUGCUGCUGAGAACUGACUACAGCCACAAAUCACCUUUUCCCUGCAGCUGACCCCGACUGCAACUACCAUUAUUC
rnacentral:lncRNA from 1 species